CAUUGAUCCUAUUGACCUAAAUAUGGAUCGCUAUAAUAGGAUCAAUGGGGUCAAUAUAGGUCCAUUAUAGGGUCAAUAGGAUCAAUGGGGUCAAUGGGGGGCAAUAUAGGGUCAGUGGGGUCAAUGGGAGUCAAUGGAGGUCCGUUAUAGGGUCAAUAGGAUCAAUGGGGUCAAUAUAGGUCCAUUAUAGGGUCAAUGGGAUCAAUGGGGUCAAUAUAGGUCCGUUAUAGGGNUUAUAGGGUCAAUAGGAUCAAUGGAGUCAAUGGGGGGCAAUAUAGGGUCAAUAGGAUCAAUGGGGUCAAUAUAGGGUCAAUAGGAUCAAUGGGGUCAAUGGGGGGCAAUAUAGGGUCAAUAGGAUCAAUGGGGUCAAUAUAGGUCCAUUAUAGGGUCAAUAGGAUCAAUGGGGUCAAUAUAGGUCCGUUAUAGGGUCAAUAGGAUCAAUGGGGUCAAUAUAGGUCCAUUAUAGGGUCAAUAGGAUCAAUGGGGUCAAUGGAGGUCCGUUAUAGGGUCAAUAGGAUCAAUGGGGUCAAUGGGGGGCAAUAUAGGGUCAAUAGGGUUAAUGGGGUCCAUUAUAGGGUCAAUGGGGUCCAUUAUAGGGUCAAUGGGGUCAUUUAGGAUCACUAUGGGGUCACCGAGGUUACCUGGGGUCUUUGGGGUCACAGUGGGAUCAUCAGUGGGGUCACUGGAGGACAUCGUGGGGCCCUAUAGAUCCUAUAGGUCCUUUGGGGUCCUUUGGGGUCACUGUGACCCUAUAGAUCCUAUAGGUCCUUUGGGGUCUUCGGGGUCUCCUCGACCCUAUAGAUCCUAUAGGUCCUUUGGGGUCUUUGGGAUCACUGCAGCCCUAUAGAUCCUAUAGGUCCUUUGGGGUCUUUGGGGUCCCCUUGGCCCUAUAGAACCAUUUGGGGUCCUAUAGAAUCUAUAGGAUCCUUAUGUUCCACUCGACCCUAUAGCUCCGUGCCUUCCCAGUCCCUCCCAGUUUAACCCAGCCCCUCCCAGUUUAACCCCAUAACCAGCCCCACACCCGGCCCUAUUGCCCCAUAACCAGCCCCUAUUGCCCCAUAGAUCCCAUAUAACCCAGUUACACCACAGCCCCACCCCAUAACCAGCCCCACACCCGGCCCUAUUAAUUACCCCAUAGAUCCCAUCCCCUCCCAGUCCCAUCCCAUAUAACCCAGUCAAACCAGUUACACCACAGCCCCACCCCAUAACCAGCCCCACAUCCGGCCCUAUUACCCCAUAGAUCCCAUAUAAACCAGUUCAGCCCCAUAGCUGCCCCACAUCCGGCCCUAUUACCCCACAUCCGCCCCUAUUACCCCAUAGAUCCCAUAUAGCCCAGUUACACCACAGCCCCACCCCAUAACCAGCCCCACACCCGGCCCUAUUAAUUACCCCAUAGAUCCCNCUAUUACCCCAUAGAUCCCAUAUAGCCCAGUUACACCACAGCCCCACCCCAUAACCAGCCCCACACCCGGCCCUAUUAAUUACCCCAUAGAUCCCCUUCCAGUCCCAUCCCAUAUAACCCAGUCAAACCAGUUACACCACAGCCCCACCCCAUAACCAGCCCCACAUCCGGCCCUAUUACCCCAUAUCCGGCCCUAUUACCCCAUAGAUCCCAUAUAACCCAGUUCAGCCCCAUAACCAGCCCCACAUCCGGCCCUAUUACCCCAUAUCUGGCCCUAUUACCCCAUAUCCGGCCCUAUUACCCCAUAACCAGCCCCUAUUACCCCAUAGAUCCCAUAUAGCCCAGUUCAGCCCCAUAGCUGCCCUAUAUCUGGCCCUAUUACCCCAUAACCAGCCCCUAUUACCCCAUAGAUCCCAUAUAACCCAGUUACACCACAGCCCCACCC
ensembl:lncRNA